UGCUCGUCGACGUGGACGCCGUCUUCUUUCCUGCGAUGUGCCGAAGGGGAACUGCUCGCCGGGAGUCACCCAUGGCCAGGAUCUUGAUCUUGAUGCACAACCAGGAGGUGAACUAGGAUUUCUGUUUCUUUGCACAGAUUCCACAACAUCUUGAUCGAUUCACUAGCUAAGCAAAAAGGCUACUCGUUCUUGUCGGCAAGUGCCCAGAAUGGGUAGAUGCAUUUUGAUAUGCAAUUUUUUAGUGUCCAUCCUUAGUUGUCAUUUCCACCCUAGUAUUUGUUCAUGCUAAAAAUAACACAUGGCAAAUUAUAUCAGUACUUAUUUCUAUAGCUA